GAGAACUGUGGCAAAUCGCAGAACUGGAGA
rnacentral:piRNA from 1 species